AAAAAUUCAUAUCAUGUGUGAAGAUCAUGUAUGCAAAAGAUUGGAUCAGAUGGCUCAAAGAUGAGGAUUUCACAAUGCAUUGAAGGCAAUAUGUCAAAUUGGCACAAUGUUCAAUCAAAAUUUCACAAAUAAAAAUCUAGACAUCAACAAUUCAUGCAAUUAACAUAAAAAAAAGUAGAGAUAAAAAAAAAAACUAUGAAAAAAAUUUGGGAUUAGAUUGGAC
rnacentral:lncRNA from 1 species